rnacentral:rRNA from 1 species
CCUACGGGAGACAGCAGUGAGGGAUAUUGGUCAAUGGGGGAAACCCUGAACCAGCAACGCAGCGUGAGGGAAGACGGUUUUCGGAUUGUAAACCUCUGUCCUCUGUGAAGUUGAUGACGGUAGCAGAGGAGGAAGCUACGGAUAACUACGUGCCAGCAGCCGCGGUAAUACGUAGGAAGCAGGGGUUGUCCGGAUUUACUGGGUGUAAUGGGUGCGUAGACGGCUUGGCAAGUCAGAAGUGAAAUCCAUGGGCUUAACCCUAGAACUGCUUUUGAUACUGCAAGGCUUGAGUGGAGUAGAGGUAGGCGGAAGUCCCGGUGUAGCGGUGAAAUGCUUAGAGAGCGGGAAGAACACCAGUGGCGAAGGCGGCCUGCUAAGCUCUAACUGACAUUGAGGCACGAAAGCGUGGGUAUCAAACAGGAUUAGAUACCCCUGUAGUC